UACGUAGGUGGCAAGCGUUGUCCGGAAUUAUUGGGCGUAAAGCGCGCGCAGGCGGCUUCUUAAGUCUGAUGUGAAAUCUCGGGGCUCAACCCCGAGCGGCCAUUGGAAACUGGGAAGCUUGAGUGCAGAAGAGGAGAGUGGAAUUCCACGUGUAGCGGUGAAAUGCGUAGAUAUGUGGAGGAACACCAGUGGCGAAGGCGACUCUCUGGUCUGUAACUGACGCUGAGGCGCGAAAGCGUGGGGAGCAAAC
rnacentral:rRNA from 1 species